CACCCUGAAGUAUAGCAGUGUUGAAUUGUGUGCCAUGCUUCAAGAUUUUGCCUACAAAAAUAAUUCGUCGUUGAAUAUUACACAAGUAAUAUGCAGAUAUGUGAAAAACAACGGGUCAACCUUUGAUAAUAUGAGGGAGGAUUUCUCACUUGCAAACAGCUGUCUUUCGUCUUUAUUGAGAAAAAUAAGAGCGGGAGGAAAAGGCACUGUAUACACAUGCACCGCCUUCUGUCUAUCACUGUUCAGGGUUUAUCGAACAAAACGAUGAAGUCGUAUUAUACAUUUGCAGCUCUAAGAGGUAUGAAAAUCUUACCAAACCUUAAAACUACGGACUUUGAAACUGUGGGUCAAAAUGGUGAAAGGCUCGUGGAAAAAUAUUAGCUGUGACAGAAUUUAAUCGAGGCACAAGCAAUGAAACAGACGAUAAAGGUGCAAAGAUGUGCGAAAUUCUGUUCAGUCAAAUCAUUUGCAAAAGUAUUUGUUUGAGAGACACUCAGAAAGAUUGAACAAACGUUUCUUUCAUCCCCGAAAAAUCAACAUCAGCUUCUGUCAGGAUAAUUUUAUAAUAGAAGUAAAUCUGCGAGUAUCAACUAAUCCAAAUCACAUGUUUACCAAUGCAAUAUACGAACCACCAUCUUUUUAUCACGUGACAAAGCAACUGUGAGAAGGCACAGGAUAACCAGCUGUUGCUUUGAUCCUUCAGAUAAUCAUUAAAGCCGCAGUAUGACCCGGUAUGAAAAGUUCCAUUGUCUACAUGUACGACACAUAAAAUAGAACAAGGAUCACAUCACAUGGUCACCGUUCAAGCGAGUAGAAAUUCGGAGGAUGAAACGCCCUAGCAAAUUUUUAAUACAUUCUUCAAGAUGUGUGAAAUUUGUGUCGCCGAGAAUAUCUGCUGUCAAUACACAGUUGAUACAUAUAACUUUGUACAAGGACGUGCACACGUUCUGUAGUUGGUAUUCGAUUGGAAUACAGGUUGCAAAAAUUGGAAGGAAAUAAAAUAUUGUAAUAAAAA